rnacentral:rRNA from 1 species
GACGAACGCUGGCGGCGUGCUUAACACAUGCAAGUCGAACGGAAAGGCCCUGCUUUUGUGGGGUGCUCGAGUGGCGAACGGGUGAGUAACACGUGAGUAACCUGCCCUUGACUUUGGGAUAACUUCAGGAAACUGGGGCUAAUACCGGAUAGGAGCUCCUGCUGCAUUGUGGGGGGUGGAAAGUUUCGGCGGGUGGGGAUGGACUCGCGGCUUAUCAGCUUGUUGGUGGGGUAGUGGCUUACCAAGGCUUUGACGGGUAGCCGGCCUGAGAGGGUGACCGGCCACAUUGGGACUGAGAUACGGCCCAGACUCCUACGGGAGGCAGCAGUCGGGAAUAUUGCACAAUGGGCGGAAGCCUGAUGCAGCAACGCCGCGUGCGGGAUGACGGCCUUCGGGUUGUAAACCGCUUUCGCCUGUGACGAAGCGUGAGUGACGGUAAUGGGUAAAGAAGCACCGGCUAACUACGUG